GGGAGGUGUUGGCUCUGAAUGUUCACUGAAACACUGCUUGAAGAGAGGGGAGGCCGGACAGCACGGAUGAAUGGACGUUUCUUCCCAAACACAGCAGUGUGGAGCCGUCAGCAGGAGGCAUCCACAGCAAGAUACACCCUUCAGAAGUCAGGAGGCCUGUGUUUGCUCCAGGGAUUACAUUACCACACCAGAGGCCUUCCAGACAGACACACACACUGCAUCACCACCAAAGCCAGCCAAAACGGACCCCAGCGCCUCUGUCUGCGAGGCUUACAGUGACCCAUGCUGAUCUUUCUGUGUGUGUGUGCGAAAAGAAAGCUUAACAGCUAACUAUCUGUGAAGUAUGGCAGAAAACAACUCCCUCCUGCCACAUGACUGAAACUCUGAUUGCCAUAUAGCCUACCACUUCCGACUGGUGGUUUUUGAACGGUACAG
rnacentral:lncRNA from 1 species